UUAAGCGACUAAGCGUACACGGUGGAUGCCCUGGCAGUCAGAGGCGAUGAAGGACGUGCUAAUCUGCGAUAAGCGUCGGUAAGGUGAUAUGAACCGUUAUAACCGGCGAUUUCCGAAUGGGGAAACCCAGUGUGAUUCGUCACACUAUCAUUAACUGAAUCCAUAGGUUAAUGAGGCGAACCGGGGGAACUGAAACAUCUAAGUACCCCGAGGAAAAGAAAUCAACCGAGAUUCCCCCAGUAGCGGCGAGCGAACGGGGAGCAGCCCAGAGCCUGAAUCAGUGUGUGUGUUAGUGGAAGCGUCUGGAAAGGCGCGCGAUACAGGGUGACAGCCCCGUACACAAAAAUGCACAUGCUGUGAGCUCGAUGAGUAGGGCGGGACACGUGGUAUCCUGUCUGAAUAUGGGGGGACCAUCCUCCAAGGCUAAAUACUCCUGACUGACCGAUAGUGAACCAGUACCGUGAGGGAAAGGCGAAAAGAACCCCGGCGAGGGGAGUGAAAAAGAACCUGAAACCGUGUACGUACAAGCAGUGGGAGCACAGAGCAAUCUGUGUGACUGCGUACCUUUUGUAUAAUGGGUCAGCGACUUAUAUUCUGUAGCAAGGUUAACCGAAUAGGGGAGCCGAAGGGAAACCGAGUCUUAACUGGGCGUUAAGUUGCAGGGUAUAGACCCGAAACCCGGUGAUCUAGCCAUGGGCAGGUUGAAGGUUGGGUAACACUAACUGGAGGACCGAACCGACUAAUGUUGAAAAAUUAGCGGAUGACUUGUGGCUGGGGGUGAAAGGCCAAUCAAACCGGGAGAUAGCUGGUUCUCCCCGAAAGCUAUUUAGGUAGCGCCUCGUGAAUUCAUCUCCGGGGGUAGAGCACUGUUUCGGCAAGGGGGUCAUCCCGACUUACCAACCCGAUGCAAACUGCGAAUACCGGAGAAUGUUAUCACGGGAGACACACGGCGGGUGCUAACGUCCGUCGUGAAGAGGGAAACAACCCAGACCGCCAGCUAAGGUCCCAAAGUCAUGGUUAAGUGGGAAACGAUGUGGGAAGGCCCAGACAGCCAGGAUGUUGGCUUAGAAGCAGCCAUCAUUUAAAGAAAGCGUAAUAGCUCACUGGUCGAGUCGGCCUGCGCGGAAGAUGUAACGGGGCUAAACCAUGCACCGAAGCUGCGGCAGCGACGCUUAUGCGUUGUUGGGUAGGGGAGCGUUCUGUAAGCCUGUGAAGGUGUACUGUGAGGUAUGCUGGAGGUAUCAGAAGUGCGAAUGCUGACAUAAGUAACGAUAAAGCGGGUGAAAAGCCCGCUCGCCGGAAGACCAAGGGUUCCUGUCCAACGUUAAUCGGGGCAGGGUGAGUCGACCCCUAAGGCGAGGCCGAAAGGCGUAGUCGAUGGGAAACAGGUUAAUAUUCCUGUACUUGGUGUUACUGCGAAGGGGGGACGGAGAAGGCUAUGUUGGCCGGGCGACGGUUGUCCCGGUUUAAGCGUGUAGGCUGGUUUUCCAGGCAAAUCCGGAAAAUCAAGGCUGAGGCGUGAUGACGAGGCACUACGGUGCUGAAGCAACAAAUGCCCUGCUUCCAGGAAAAGCCUCUAAGCAUCAGGUAACAUCAAAUCGUACCCCAAACCGACACAGGUGGUCAGGUAGAGAAUACCAAGGCGCUUGAGAGAACUCGGGUGAAGGAACUAGGCAAAAUGGUGCCGUAACUUCGGGAGAAGGCACGCUGAUAUGUAGGUGAAGUCCCUCGCGGAUGGAGCUGAAAUCAGUCGAAGAUACCAGCUGGCUGCAACUGUUUAUUAAAAACACAGCACUGUGCAAACACGAAAGUGGACGUAUACGGUGUGACGCCUGCCCGGUGCCGGAAGGUUAAUUGAUGGGGUUAGCGCAAGCGAAGCUCUUGAUCGAAGCCCCGGUAAACGGCGGCCGUAACUAUAACGGUCCUAAGGUAGCGAAAUUCCUUGUCGGGUAAGUUCCGACCUGCACGAAUGGCGUAAUGAUGGCCAGGCUGUCUCCACCCGAGACUCAGUGAAAUUGAACUCGCUGUGAAGAUGCAGUGUACCCGCGGCAAGACGGAAAGACCCCGUGAACCUUUACUAUAGCUUGACACUGAACAUUGAGCCUUGAUGUGUAGGAUAGGUGGGAGGCUUUGAAGUGUGGACGCCAGUCUGCAUGGAGCCGACCUUGAAAUACCACCCUUUAAUGUUUGAUGUUCUAACGUUGACCCGUAAUCCGGGUUGCGGACAGUGUCUGGUGGGUAGUUUGACUGGGGCGGUCUCCUCCUAAAGAGUAACGGAGGAGCACGAAGGUUGGCUAAUCCUGGUCGGACAUCAGGAGGUUAGUGCAAUGGCAUAAGCCAGCUUGACUGCGAGCGUGACGGCGCGAGCAGGUGCGAAAGCAGGUCAUAGUGAUCCGGUGGUUCUGAAUGGAAGGGCCAUCGCUCAACGGAUAAAAGGUACUCCGGGGAUAACAGGCUGAUACCGCCCAAGAGUUCAUAUCGACGGCGGUGUUUGGCACCUCGAUGUCGGCUCAUCACAUCCUGGGGCUGAAGUAGGUCCCAAGGGUAUGGCUGUUCGCCAUUUAAAGUGGUACGCGAGCUGGGUUUAGAACGUCGUGAGACAGUUCGGUCCCUAUCUGCCGUGGGCGCUGGAGAACUGAGGGGGGCUGCUCCUAGUACGAGAGGACCGGAGUGGACGCAUCACUGGUGUUCGGGUUGUCAUGCCAAUGGCACUGCCCGGUAGCUAAAUGCGGAAGAGAUAAGUGCUGAAAGCAUCUAAGCACGAAACUUGCCCCGAGAUGAGUUCUCCCUGACUCCUUGAGAGUCCUGAAGGAACGUUGAAGACGACGACGUUGAUAGGCCGGGUGUGUAAGCGCAGCGAUGCGUUGAGCUAACCGGUACUAAUGAACCGUGAGGCUUAACCUU
rnacentral:rRNA from 1 species